GUCGGGCAUUUUUAAACACCAACACUUGCCUUCAAAGAUGCAGCAAACCUCUGAAUUGCAGUGCCUCAAGUUGGAGAACCCUUGCCUGAGGAGUGUGAGGUGGUUGCAGAGGCCUUGCUGGGAGCCCAAAUAGCAGAUGGGGGGAAGCAGCUGGGGAGGACUGGACACCGCUGUGGAAACCUGUUGGACCAACAUCUCCUGAGCAUAGACAGAAGAAGACGAUAGCUGCCGUGUGACUACCACCCUCCUUGCCAUGGACCCGGUGGUAAAGGGUCCACUAUGUUCUGGGCAGGGACCUUGUUGGGUCUGUUGCAGCUGGUUGUCUCCAUGGG
rnacentral:lncRNA from 1 species